rnacentral:rRNA from 1 species
GACAGAGGGGGCAAGCGUUGCUCGGAAUCACUGGGCGUAAAGGGCGCGUAGGCGGGAUGGCAAGUCAGUCGUGAAAUCUCUCGGCUCAACCGAGAAACGUCGGCUGAUACUGCCGUUCUUGAGGGAUGCAGAGGAGACUGGAAUUCCCGGUGUAGCGGUGAAAUGUGUAGAGAUCGGGAGGAACACCGGUGGCGAAGGCGGGUCUCUGGGCAUUUCCUGACGCUGAAGCGCGAAAGCGUGGGGAGCAAACGGG